rnacentral:rRNA from 1 species
UACGAAGGGGGCUAGCGUUGCUCGGAAUCACUGGGCGUAAAGCGCACGUAGGCGGCUUACUAAGUCAGGGGUGAAAUCCUGGAGCUCAACUCCAGAACUGCCUUUGAUACUGAAGAUCUUGAGUUCCGGGAGAGGUGAGUGGAACUGCGAGUGUAGAGGUGAAAUUCGUAGAUAUUCGCAAGAACACCAGUGGCGAAGGCGGCUCACUGGCCCGAUACUGACGCUGAGGCACGAAAGCGUGGGGAGCAAACAGG